rnacentral:tRNA from 1 species
GUCGGGGUAGUUCAGCUGGUUAGAACAUCUCACUCAUAAAGAGAAGGUCGGGAGUUCAAGCCUCCCCCCCGACACCA